UCCCAGCGGUCCAAGUCGCAACCACAAUUAUUGGGUCUAAAACAUCCGUAGCUUGCCUGGUAAGUCUCUUGUGAAAUCCGGCCUCUUAAGGGUCGAAGAGCAAGAGAUACUGCUGGGCUAGAGACCGGGAGAGGUAAGAAGUAUGGUCGGGGUACCGGUAAAAUGGGUUGAUCCUGUCCAGACUAACAACAGCGAAGGCAUCUUACCAGCACGGAUCUGACAGUAAGGGAUGAAGGCUAGGGGCGCAAAAGGG
rnacentral:rRNA from 1 species